ACAUCUAUCUUGCUUUUUUAAAACAGGCCAGUCCCUGAAACAUCUUGGGCAAUGGAGGGUUAACUUAUCCUCAAAGUUUACUAGGUAAGACCAGCAGCCAUACAGCAAGGGCUUCAAAUAACCAGCUGAAGAACUGUUCCCCAGAGCAUUGUUCCUGAGGAGGAAAAGAGUCCAAACACCCACCCACACCUGCUUCGUGCCAAGAAUCCACAGUUGGGUUGCAAGGACAGUGUAUGUUGCCCUUUUGGAAAAAUGAGAAUGAGCCCAAGUGAAGAGCAAGCAAAGGUGUUCGAGACCCAGCUGUUGAGAGUAGAAAAGCACAGGAAAGGACCCGAGCUCAGCAAGUGCCUUCCCCACUAUGGGGCAGAUCUGCCAGCGACAAUUGGAUGUAGCAGCUAAAAAGCCAAAACGACCUCCGCUUACUGAAAGUGAG